rnacentral:lncRNA from 1 species
CCGCAACGGAACUUAAAGCUCCGCCCCUUCCAUGACGUCCACACGUUUGCGUUCUACGGCACCCCUGCAGGGGUCCGCUGCCCCAUCUUUUGCAGGCGAGGCCCCAGCUGGGAAGGUGGUCUCUGGUUUUUGGUCCGUGGGGACGGGCGCCAGCCACCGGCCUCCCGUCCGUCUGUAGACGGCAGGCUCUGGGAAGGAGAAAGGCAGGUGCAGAGCGAAGGAGCUGGUCCCUGAACAGAGACAGCGACGCCACCCGAGACCCGUUGGAGCCAGGGAGCACAGAGCAGCGGACAGCAGCUGUGAGGGUCAGGCUGUUGUGUCAACUCGGCCAGCUCCUAGGUAUAUCAGGAGAGCUGGAAACAUGUUCACGCAAAAACUUGUACACCAGUGUUCACAGCGGCUCUCUUCACAAUAGCCAGAAAGUGAAAGCAGCCCCCGUGCGUGGCGGAAAAGCAGGAAACAGCGCAGCGCAGCCAGGCAACGGAGUGUCGGAGUGUCGUUCAACCUCCAGAAGGAGCGACGCUCUGGUGCUGCGACAACCUGGGUGA